GGCACCGAAAGAGAAUCUGAUCCCGCCAAAGUGCUCCAAGAGGGAUCGGCAAGGGCUGUUUGAGUGGAUCGUGGAGCACAUCUCCCCAGGACCCGGGAGGCCGAGAGACAGAACACACACAGAUGGUUUCACGGAUGGCUGCUUCUUCUGGAAUGCUCUUUUUGCUCCUCUUCACCAGGUUAAUUCCGGGCGUCGUUCGGAUCCGGGGGCCUCUCACACUCGGAGGAGACUCCGAGCUCACGCGCUUGCUCAAAGGGGCCUGAGCCUCUGCAUUUCUAACCAGCCCCCAGUAAGGCUAGUCCUGCUGGUCCUCAGCCCACACGCUGGGGACCAGUGGCUCAGACACCUGGCCUCUGGGAGCACCUCUCUGUCUUCAGCCUGGAGGCAGCUGCCCGCCCUGUGUCCACAACGCACCCUCCCGCCCAGCCCACGCCACGUGUGUCUCCGACUGAUUUCAUCUCUUCCACCAUCGAUCCCAGGCACGCCCAGCUCAGAGCAGGAGCGUGGUAACCCUCGCAUCUUGGUUGAAUGAACGAAUCAGUUCAUGCAUUCAACAAACAAAAGUGAAUGCAGAGCUACGCCAGCCUUUGCCACGCCCAUGUCUACACCCUGGGGGAACCCAAACACUUCGAACAAGAGCCUUGUUUGGAGUCCUAAGAAGGUGAUGUGAACAAGCGGUGAGACGCUGGGCCAGCUUGGGUCAGCUUCAGAGCAGAGCAUCUGAACUGCACCAGCGGUUCUCCAAGUGGGGUCCGUGAGCAGUCGCCCCGCGUAGAAGGGACACUUGUUAGCAGUGCACACGCUCCCUCCGAGUCAGAGAUCUGAGGGGGCUGCCAUCUGUGUUUCCACGUCCUCCAGGGAUUCUGGGGCCCUUAAGUGCAAAGCCCCCAGGUCUAGACCAGUGACAGUGACCGUGGCUUUGUGCUGGAACCACCUAGGAGCUUUGAAAGCUCUGAUGCCUUUGCUGCUUGGGCUGCUGUUACAACACUUCUGACUCCAGAUGAGAGGGUUUCCCUCCUGACACCAAAUUGGUAGUGUCGUUUCCAACACCACGCCUCGCGCUCUCUGACGGUACCCAGAGCAAGUGCAGACGCCCCGGUGUAAGGGCUCAGUCCCCUACCCGCCCCCACUUCAGAAGCCAAUCGCAAGUCCCUGGGGGGUUCCUGAGACCCCCCUCCUCAGCUUGUAGGAUUUGCUGGAAUGAUUCAAACUCAGGGAAACACUGUACUUGGCAAUUCCAGUUUAUUCUAAAGGAUGCAUUGCUGAAACAGGCAACUGAAGCGAUACGCAGGUGUGGGCGAGCGCCCGGGGCAGCCCCUCCCAGCACCUGAGCCUCAUCGGGUAGGUGUUUUGACGGAGGCUUCAUGGCGUGAUCGUGAUUGGCUACAUCCCUACCGGUGGGGAUUCUCUCAGCCUCCAGCCCCUCUCCCCUUCCCAGAGGUCAGGGGGUGGGGCUAAAAGUUCCACGCUUUAAGGAAGCGGUUGGGUCCUGCGGCUGCCAGCACCAUCCUGAGGCUGCCAGCGGCCCACAGAGAGUCGCCACAUUGGCGUAAACUCAGGUACGAUCUAAAGGGUCUCAGAUAAAAGCGAAAAGAUGCUCCUCGAACCCAAUCACUCAGGAAAUUCCAAGGGUUUUAGAAGCCCCUGUGCCAGAAACCGGGGACAAAGACCCAGAAUGUAGCUCUGAGUUUGUGCUCUUUUGCAAUAGUCCCGCCCCCUUCCCCGUCCUGGGUGGGUGGGCUCUAUUCUGGCUCCUCAAGCUCCGUCGCCUUUUGCCUGCAAUGGGGGUGAGGGAGGGGCCGGCCAGUGUGUGGCCACGACCGCUCCACACAGCAGCGGGGAGGCUGUCACAGGUGGGAGAUGAGGGGCACCGCCUCUUUCUCCAGAACCUUGACCACGACCAGGGAGGCUGGGAGAGGACGGUGCCUGUGGCCACUGCUUGCGACCGGGUGCGGCGGGCUGAGCAGCCAGUUCCCUCAGACCAGCUUCAAGCCCUUUCUAGGGAGGCUCUCGCCUUCGUCACAGCGGACCCCAUGCGGGGACGGAUAGCACGGAGGAGCGUUGCCUUGGCAACGCAGGCUUAGGAGGGUGGCGCUGGUAACCAGGGCUGCUUUUGACCUUCACCGUCUCUCGGGCUGGUGGCUUUCUCAUCUCCCUGCUGUUCCGCUGGAGCCAUGCCCAAGCCUGCAAUGAGGCCAUCCUUAGGGGAGGCCUUUGGCCACCCUCUGUGUCACCCACCCUUUCAUCUUAGAGGGCAUCGCCAUGAAAUGCACUUCACCAGGAGGCACAGAGGAAUCCCGUGCCUGUUUGAAAGCACUCAACCAAAGCUGAGCCCCUGCUCGCCCUGGAUUCACGCUGUGGUUCCCACCCAGGGUCAUGCCUGCUGCUCACCCUAUAGCUCUAACCAGGCAAGCAAGGCCACCUCCGAGUUCCAGGUGGAUCUAAUGCAAAAGAUGGUAAAUACAGCAUUAGAAUCACGUC